CAUUCAAUCAAAUCAAUAAAGGACAAAAACCAUACGAUCAUUUCAAUAGACACAGAAAAAGAUUUGACAAAAUCCAACA